rnacentral:rRNA from 1 species
UACGUAGGGUGCAAGCGUUGUCCGGAUUUAUUGGGCGUAAAGAGUUCGUAGGCGGCACAGUUAGUCAGAAGUUAAAGCGCAAGGCUCAACCUUGCGUCGCUUUUGAUACUGCUGAGCUUGAGUAUGGCAGGGGAGAAGGGAAUUCCACGUGUAGCGGUGAAAUGCGCAGAUAUGUGGAGGAACACCAGUGGCGAAGGCGCUUCUCUGGGCCAUUACUGACGCUGAGGAACGAAAGCGUGGGGAGCGAACAGG